rnacentral:rRNA from 1 species
GAUGAACGCUGGCGGCGUGCCUAAUACAUGCAAGUCGAGCGAACGGACGAGAAGCUUGCUUCUCUGAUGUUAGCGGCGGACGGGUGAGUAACACGUGGAUAACCUACCUAUAAGACUGGGAUAACUUCGGGAAACCGGAGCUAAUACCGGAUAAUAUUUUGAACCGCAUGGUUCAAAAGUGAAAGACGGUCUUGCUGUCACUUAUAGAUGGAUCCGCGCUGCAUUAGCUAGUUGGUAAGGUAACGGCUGACCAAGGCAACGAUGCAUAGCCGACCUGAGAGGGUGAUCUGCCACACUGGAACUGAGACACGGUCCAGACUCCUACGGGAGGCAGCAGUAGGGAAUCUUCCGCAAUGGGCGAAAGCCUGACGGAGCAACGCCGCGUGAGUGAUGAAGGUCUUCGGAUCGUAAAACUCUGUUAUUAGGGAAGAACAUAUGUGUAAGUAACUGUGCACAUCUUGACGGUACCUAAUCAGAAAGCCACGGCUAACUACGUG